CCCAUCAAGACAAGAGAAUAAGCUCUGCCAACUUUAUAACGAUCACAACCAGGCGAUAGAGCGAUCAGAAUUCGUGCGUAGCACUCCACCUAUAUAAAAGAAGCUAAAUCAAGUGAACCUCGAAAAAAAUGACAUCUUGCCUUUAUGAUGUAGGCCUCUGAUUGAUACUCAAACAUUCUGGAAAUAAUGCAUUUUGAUUAAAAAAAGAAGACAACACUUCUCAUCAACUUGGGAAUUUCUCAAAAGGAAUAAAGGGUUGUUGAUCAACAUCAUUGUUAUACUUGUUUGCCUCAUCUUCAUCUGACAUUUCCUAUCAUUGUUAAAACCAG